UUUAUGGAGAGUUUGAUCCUGGCUCAGGAUGAACGCUGGCGGCGUGCCUAAUACAUGCAAGUCGAGCGAACGGACGAGAAGCUUGCUUCUCUGAUGUUAGCGGCGGACGGGUGAGUAACACGUGGAUAACCUACCUAUAAGACUGGGAUAACUUCGGGAAACCGGAGCUAAUACCGGAUAAUAUUUUGAACCGCAUGGUUCAAAAGUGAAAGACGGUCUUGCUGUCACUUAUAGAUGGAUCCGCGCUGCAUUAGCUAGUUGGUAAGGUAACGGCUUACCAAGGCAACGAUGCAUAGCCGACCUGAGAGGGUGAUCGGCCACACUGGAACUGAGACACGGUCCAGACUCCUACGGGAGGCAGCAGUAGGGAAUCUUCCGCAAUGGGCGAAAGCCUGACGGAGCAACGCCGCGUGAGUGAUGAAGGUCUUCGGAUCGUAAAACUCUGUUAUUAGGGAAGAACAUAUGUGUAAGUAACUGUGCACAUCUUGACGGUACCUAAUCAGAAAGCCACGGCUAACUACGUGCCAGCAGCCGCGGUAAUACGUAGGUGGCAAGCGUUAUCCGGAAUUAUUGGGCGUAAAGCGCGCGUAGGCGGUUUUUUAAGUCUGAUGUGAAAGCCCACGGCUCAACCGUGGAGGGUCAUUGGAAACUGGAAAACUUGAGUGCAGAAGAGGAAAGUGGAAUUCCAUGUGUAG
rnacentral:rRNA from 1 species